GAUGAACGCUGGCGGCGUGCUUAACACAUGCAAGUCGAACGAACCUUCGGGUUAGUGGCGGACGGGUGAGUAACGCGUGAGAAUCUGCCCUCAGGAGGGGGAUAACGGCUGGAAACGGCCGCUAAUACCCCAUAUGCCGAGAGGUGAAAUGAAUUUCGCCUGAGGAUGAGCUCGCGUCUGAUUAGCUAGUUGGUGUGGUAAAGGCUCACCAAGGCAUCGAUCAGUAGCUGGUCUGAGAGGAUGAUCAGCCACACUGGGACUGAGACACGGCCCAGACUCCUACGGGAGGCAGCAGUGGGGAAUUUUCCGCAAUGGGCGCAAGCCUGACGGAGCAACGCCGCGUGAGGGAUGAAGGCCUCUGGGCUGUAAACCUCUUUUAUCAAGGAAGAAGAUCUGACGGUACUUGAUGAAUAAGCCACGGCUAAUUCCGUGCCAGCAGCCGCGGUAAUACGGGAGUGGCAAGCGUUAUCCGGAAUUAUUGGGCGUAAAGCGUCCGCAGGCGGUCUUGAAAGUCUGUUGUUAAAGCGUGGAGCUCAACUCCAUUUCAGCAAUGGAAACUAGAAGACUAGAGUGUGGUAGGGGCAGAGGGAAUUCCCGGUGUAGCGGUGAAAUGCGUAGAUAUCGGGAAGAACACCAGUGGCGAAGGCGCUCUGCUGGGCCAUAACUGACGCUCAUGGACGAAAGCCAGGGGAGCGAAAGGGAUUAGAUACCCCUGUAGUCCUGGCCGUAAACGAUGAACACUAGGUGUCGGGGGAAUCGACCCCCUCGGUGUCGUAGCCAACGCGUUAAGUGUUCCGCCUGGGGAGUACGCACGCAAGUGUGAAACUCAAAGGAAUUGACGGGGGCCCGCACAAGCGGUGGAGUAUGUGGUUUAAUUCGAUGCAACGCGAAGAACCUUACCAGGGUUUGACAUCCUGCGAAUCCCUUGGAAACUUGGGAGUGCCUUCGGGAGCGCAGUGACAGGUGGUGCAUGGCUGUCGUCAGCUCGUGUCGUGAGAUGUUGGGUUAAGUCCCGCAACGAGCGCAACCCACGUCUUUAGUUGCCAGCAUUAAGUUGGGCACUCUAGAGAGACUGCCGGUGAUAAACCGGAGGAAGGUGUGGAUGACGUCAAGUCAUCAUGCCCCUUACAUCCUGGGCUACACACGUACUACAAUGCUACGGACAAAGGGCAGCAAACUCGCGAGAGCUAGCAAAUCCCAUAAACCGUGGCUCAGUUCAGAUCGUAGGCUGCAACUCGCCUACGUGAAGGAGGAAUCGCUAGUAAUCGCAGGUCAGCAUACUGCGGUGAAUACGUUCCCGGGCCUUGUACACACCGCCCGUCACACCAUGGAAGUUGGCCACGCCCGAAGUCGUUACUCCAACCCGCAAGGGAGGAGGAUGCCGAAGGUGGGGCUGAUGACUGGGGUG
rnacentral:rRNA from 1 species